AACCUUAUGGACCUGCGGGCGUAUACCUGCGGAGGGAUCAUUAUAGAGUUUUCUAAACUCCCAAACCCAUGUGAACUUACCAUUGUUGCCUCGGCAGAACCUACCCGGUACCUACCCUGGAACUAGCUACCCUGUAGCUACCCAGGAACGGGCUACCCUGUAACGUCCUGCCGGUGGACUUCUAAACUCUUGUUAUUUAUAGUAAUCUGAGCGUCUUAUUUUAAUAAGUCAAAACUUUCA
rnacentral:misc_RNA from 1 species